rnacentral:lncRNA from 1 species
UUAAAAUAUGCUUAUAUAUUAUUUUAUUUUUCAUUUUAGUUUGGGAGUUUACAAAGUAAAGAUUCAAUUACCUGGUUAAAGUACUUAUGCUGCUUAAGAAAUGCAGAGGUGCGUGUAGAGUGUGUGUGUGUGUGUGUGUGUGUGUGUGUGUGUGUGUGUACACAUGCAUGUGUGACCACAAUAGUCUCUUUUGAGUAUGUGGACAAAAAAGAAGUCAUUAGCAAAUGUUCACAGAUUGAAAGAAAACUCAGAAUAGGUUUCCUAUAAUAAAACAUUUUUUGUUAAAACAUGGUUUACAUAUGGGAGAAAAAGCAUGCAGGCCCUAAGAUAUGCUGCCAGACACACAGACAUUUAGAAAAGUACUUUAUUAGCUAACUGAUAUAAUUAACUGAAUGAUUUCCAUUCGUAGUCAUUCACCUUUCCAUUAGUAUGAAAAUGUGAACACUUUGGAGUUCAAUUAGUAGGUUGAAAGAAAAUAAAAAUUACCUUUUUGAUCUCAGACUUCACUGUGAAGCAGAAUGAUGUUCUAAUUACCAAAGUGGUUAAAAUUAUUCAUGUACAGAGACUAUUUAAUUGAUCCAGAUGCACCUUUUAAGGAGACCAAACCAGCUCCAAAGGAGUCUUUCCUCCCAAGAGCUGACUUAAUUCUAUGGCGACAAUAGGAAAAACGAAGAACAUUUACUUUUAUCAUAAUUUCCUAAUUUUCUUGGUAAACCUUAAUAAAUGUAUCUAUCUUGACGUGUUAGCUCUUCAGCCUCAAUGUAUUGGUAUGAACCUAGAAGUUGUACUGUUAAAAUAUUUAGACAUGCCCUGUAGGAGGAGUUAGCACACUUUUUCCGUAAGAAGACUACAAAGUAAAAAUUUAGGCUCUGCAGACAGUGCAGUUUCUGUUGCAUCUACUCUGUGGUUGUAUGGAAAGCAGUCACAGACAAAACCUAAAGGAAUGGGCUGUGUUCCAAUAAAACAUUAUUUACAAAACAAGAGAGGUCCCUGAAAAACAUGACAACUGCUGAGAUUAAAGCAUGUCUCUGCUAACUAAAACGUCUAAUGCUUUGAAAUAAUUUUACUUUCUACUCAUCCAUCUCCAUCCUUUUCAACAUAAAAGAUAUAUAAUGAAGUUCUAAAAAUGGCAUUCAUAGAAUUUCAAUGUAUGUUCAGCACUGCAUAUAUAGAAUCUACUCUCUAUGGCUUUUCAUAAUAGGAAGCAUUGGUUUUAAAAAUGAGUAGAUAUUUUAGUAAGAUUGUUCUGCAACCCAUGUAAUUUCUAAGUAAACCAGAUUUUCUCAGUGCACUACAUAUUUCUAAGCAAUAAUUUAGAAGAUUUCAGAGGGUUCAGUCCGUCAUUUUUGAACAAAUACGAAACUUAAAGAAUUCAUGCGACUCCCCAAAAGGCUGAUUCCAUUGGGAUGCAGAUAGAGGUGAUUUAUUUUAGCUUAUUGAGAGACAAAUAUGAUCUAUAACUAUAACAGUGAAUAUGCCCAGUGAAUGACAAAGACCAGACCCUACAGGAUAACAGAACUCUGACCCACAAGCUCUGCAGCAAUCAAGCCUGAGAAUCCAAACCACAAGCUCUGCAGCAAAGAGCUCAGAAGAUCAGAACUUGAUCAGUGAUGAUCAGCUUCCCCACUUUUUGCCCCCUUCUUCCAACACAGGACUGGCCAGAGAAAGGCGGGUAUGUUCCACAAAUAAACCAAAUAAGAUGUCUCACUUCUACGCAGCUUGCCUCUGGCUUCCUGAAGCCAACAACCCCCAAUUAAAACAAUACCUGAAAGGUUCCCUUUUGCUUCCCCCCCUAUAAAGCUUUCCUUUCUUACUGGCUGCCUUCCAGUGUCUAACAUACAUAAAGGAUGGGGGCUGACUCCCAAGCUACAGACACCUCUGAAUAAAUAGCCUCUGGCUGGUCUCACUGGCAAAACGUUUGUGUAUUUCCACUUUAUGGUCUUUACAAGGAAGCACAGACCUCAGAGUCGGACACACCUCAAAAUGGAGCUUUACCUCAUAACUUGAUGACAAGGGCUCUCUCAAAGGCUCACACGUACUAAAAAUUCUUCCCGUACGGGUAUAAUUGAAGGCAGAGAAAACAUAACAAUAUUGCUAAUUCAUACGCAUAACCUGACAAGUAACAAACGGAAUGCAUUGUUGGAAAGACGUGUGGUCUGAGGCGUGGUGCCACAUCUAAUGUCAACUGACCAUUUUUAUCUGGAGUGGCUUAAAAUGUUAUGUCUUCUGUUCUUAAAAUUCUUCCCCAGCUCCCACCAACUUCCCAGGACACCUCGGAAUACAUAUGCUUCUUGCUUAUCACCCCCGUCAGGUUCAUACUGGAGUUCUCUGAGGACCUUUGGAGAAAGCACUAAUGCCUUGACUCCAUUCUAAAAGAGCUGAUUUAGGAGUUCCCACCAUGGCUCAGUGGAAACAAAUCUGACUAGUAUCCAUGAGGACACAGGUUCCAUCUCUGGCCUCGUUCAGUGGGUUUGGAAUCUGGCAUUGCCGUGAGCUGUGGUGUAGGUCACUGAUGCAGCUGGGAUCUGGUGCUGCUGUGACUGCGGUGUAGGCUGGCAGCUGCAGCUCUGAUCCAACCCCUUGCCUGUGAACCUCCAUAUGCCGUGGGUGUGGCCCUAAAAAGACAAUCAACAAUCAAAUAAAUAAAUAAAUAACUGAUUUAGAAACUGAGAGGUGGACUUGAUAUGAACUAGUAUUUUAUUAAACUUUUCUUGAAGAAUAAUCACAUAUAAUCAAUAUCUUACUGUAAUCAAAUAUCUUACACAUGACCACCCCACGGUGGCCAUACCACCAUAUAAAUCAGCCCGAGUUGAGAACCCCGCGACCAGGUAAUGUUUCCAUCUACGUACCCAAGCACACACUGCCACCAACUCAUGUAACUAAUCCGCUUACAAAUUUACAUAAUUUUGUAAUACUUUGUGGCGACGUAGCUUUGGGUAAAGGUAUUGGUGAUACGCUGACCAAGGAGGAUGGUCUUUUGCCAUUUUAGUCAAUACCAAUGUGUUUCAGUUGGCAACAGUGUCUACAUGAUGCAGUUCCUCUGUCAAUUUUUUAAAAAAAUUCUCCACUAUCUAACUUCUGGGUACUUUACUAUGCCUACUAGAACAUGUAUCAGGAGAUAUAGCUAAUGAACUACGAAAGUAUGCUGUGCUUUUAAAAGUGUAUUAUUAGAGCAGGUUGUAUUAAAACCCUGAGGGGCACUGG